CACGGCAUCGCCAUCCAGAGCCGGAGCCUUCCAGCCGCUUUCUGGUGGCUGAUCCCCUCCUAAACCCUCCUGGAAUACGGGAUACUGGAAUGUGGCCUGCCAAGACCAGGGGAAAGGGGUACUGCCCAACAGGACACUGGGGAAACAGGGAGCAUCAGCCGGGGGAAGACAGCAGGGCUGCUACUUUCCCACUAAUAAAGGAAAUGUGGCAAAACAACAGCGCUGGGAAGGCCUCGCUGGCACCUCUUGCUCUGCUGCAUACAAAUAGUGAGUCUGUCACUGGAUCUGCAGACAAGCCACCACUAAGAAGAGCAGACAAAAUAACAACAGAACCAAACUCUGUCCCCAAACUCUCACUGUGCAGGUCUAAGAAUAGCCUCAAGUGACAAAAUGGCAUCAUAGCAAUCCCCAUAUAACAGUGCUUAUAUCAUUGUGACAUGCUUUUAUACAGGUAUAGGAUUAGAUUUUGGUAUGGCCAGAGCCAGAAGUGGGAGUUACUCAAUACUGAUCCUCUUCAUAACCUCAGAUAGAUCUGACACUUCUCAGAAACACUAAUGUAAGCAGAAGGUUUCAUAUCAGGACUUUUUAUCAGCUGUUGGGUAUAAGAGUAGUUUAGUUCUUAGUGUGGUUUUAGUGCUCCAGGCAGAAAAACAGAUCCCAGAAAAACAUCCUGCAAGUUAUUUGCUGACUCCUGACUCAAUCCUGGCUUCACAGUUGUUUUCUGAUGACUACCUCAGUCCUGGCCUCACUAGCAGAAAUAAGGGUGAGGCAGCAAAUUGUAAUUCUUUGUGCACUUCUUGAUGACCAACUCACCCCUCAUCAAGGCAACCAGAGCCGUAUGAGUGUUGAAAAGGCAUGUGGAAAAUUGCUGUUCAUUUGCUACAGGAGGCUGAAGUAUCACUAAUCUGUGUUUGCACCAAGCCCCAGAGGCUUUCAGGAAAGCAGGAUGAGAUCAGUGUCCUGCGGCUGAAUUUUGAGUGAACCACUGCACCCUGGAAGCAGACAGGUCAGCACACACCGAGAGAAAAGCACUGGGUUUAAGUCUUCUUUGUGGCUCUUUGGAAAAAUAUAAACUUUUCUCACUCAGGGCCUCUCAUCAAUUUGUAACUCAGAUUUCCAGCCUUUACAGGAAGACUAGAAGGCAUCUGGUUAAAGCAAACAGAUUACACAAGCAUUUGAUUAAAAAGCCAUUAAGGAAACUUUUUAACAGAAUGAAAAGACAUUCAAGUAGCAUCAUCUAGCCUGGUACCUUCUGUCUAAAUUUUUUCUUAUUAUUGGGCUUUCUUUUCAAGUCUUAACUAUUCACAAAGAAAUCUUUCUCACAUAGUUCAACCCUCAUAUUUCACUGAACAUGUUUUUCUGCACUGGAUAAUUUACAUUUUUUGGCCCUGGUUUGAAAGCCAUUUCAGGUGGUUUGGAAUUAUCUGAGCCUGAAAAUGGAUUGGAACCUGUGCAGAAGAAUAUUAGUAUGCCAAAGGCUUUGCCAGCUCUGCCCCAGCUGUCUGAAUUGUCACCAAGCACAGAAAAUACUGUCCCCAAAGGACUUGCUCCUUGAUAUUUAUAGGCUGCUAAAGUGAAGCAAGAACAAACCCUUCUGCCCAGGUCCUCUCAGGGAAUUCUCCAGGCAGGCAGUUCUUUAUCUAUGCUCAAACCAAUGAAGAAGAUGGAUGAGAAUAAGAAGAUGGAAAUUCAUCAGUGCAAAUUCUAGAUGAUGUUGGGAAGUUAUAAGAAAUUUCCUACUCAUAACCUGUGUAUAGAAGGAAUACAGGGAAAAUGGGCAACGUGGAGAUGGGGCUCAUCUAGAAAUACCUGUGCACUGGAUUUAAGUCCCUUUAGGUGGACCAAAAAGUCUAAAACACAAAUUACAGAAGCUCCAGGAAGACCUAGAGCUGCAGGAGUAAAGGACGUAAGAACAUUGCUGAACAAGAUUUACAAUAUUAAAGUUGGAAAUCAAGAAAAUAAUGUUUAAAGACCAAUUUAUGGUAUCUUACAUCUUAUUAAUUGCAGCAACUGAUUCUUCAGGUUCCCAUGGUACAUUAAUAAAAAUUCACCCAAAGCCAAAAGAUAGCACUAGCAUUAGUGUUUACCUCACUUGAAACCAGGCAGAGCAGGUUCCCACGGAGCUUAGCUUGGUAUUUUCUUUUGUGCCACAUUGCUCUUGCUACAGUAACCCCAAGAAAACAUGAAACCAAGGGUGUUUGCACAGGUGUAUUUGUUAUUACAGGGUUUCUCCCGAGGGCUGCAGCAUGGAGGAGUGAAUACAGGUGUUGGAGGCCAGCAGGGCCUGGCACCCACAACACGGCUCUGUGCCAUCCCACCCUCUCCCCCUUGCCCCUUACCUUCCUACAAAAAUACCCCUUGGACUAUUUAUUUCAAAACUCAGCAAGGGAGGCUGUGAUCUGAGAGGUUUACUGGUGCUGGUGUGAGUUUUUCCACAGGGUUUCCACAGGGUUCAGAUCCUGUCCUGAGGUCGUUAUGCCCCUAUCCAGAUUAUUUGCUGUAAACUAAAACAUGUACUUGCAGGAUUAAAGCAGGUGUUUCAAUUCUGUGCCUGAACAGAGAAGCAUUUAAAUGUGUGCUUAAAUGAUUUGUGGAACUAAGGCCUGGAAACUCCCAAUUUCUCCUCAGCAUCAACAGAUGACAUGAGAUGUUAGUCAUGAAGUUCAGAGAAUUACCUGGAAGGAAAUUAGGGGAGGAGAAAAGUUAAAAGAAAAACAACAAACAACAACAAACAACCAACCAAACAAGAAAAACAAAACAAAACAAAACAAAAACCAAAAAACCCCAAAAAAACCCCACUCUUCUGUAGCACUUCAUUUUUACAGAAAAUAUCCACAGCUUCCAGAAGAAUUUAAUCUAUUUUCCAGCAUGCACCAGAAUAACAGUCUUUCUCAAAACACCAGCACAGAUACAACAUCAGAUGCAAUGUUCUGACAGUGCAGGAAACAACCUUUGCAGUCCAGCAGGAAAAAGGUCAGAUCCUCUCGUCUCUCUGUCUGCUCAGAAAACCCUCAGAAAAUGCUGCUGUAAGAACUCUGCUCAGACAAAAAAAGGGUACAUCUCAGCUGCUGCUGCACUGUUCCCAGCAGCCCAUUGUAUCCAGGAACCAGGCAUUUAGGAGGCAUUUAGGAGACAAUGUCCAUUCUCCCGUGGAAAAGGAGGCACCCAUGGGCUUCUUCAAAUUUUUCCAAGGGUUACCAGAAGUCUGUUAUGACUUCUGUAUCCACCUCUCUUUGUCAUCACUCUCUGGAGUCAUCCUGAGCCCAAACCCCAGCUCAGGAAAGUUGCCCCUUGAUUUUAUGAUAUCUACAAUGGGUGAACUUUCUUCAGACAUUGCCUGGCAAGACCUGACAUAAGAGGCUUAAAUGGUUCUGCCAUAAUGCCAAAAGUGAAAGAAGCUGACACAUGGCUGUGAAAACGUGAAAGUGCUGAUCACUGAACUGCAGCAGUGGUGUUGUUUGGAGAAUGAUCCAGAGUGCCACAGCCAGCACAGCCUUCAGUUCUUGAAAAACAUUUGUUUACCAUCUCAGGAUACAUUUUACAGAGCUUAUGAUGAAGACUAUGAAGAGGAAGCAACUGCUUUCUGUACUUCUGACAUGAGACAAAAGCCUCUGGAGUCAACACGGGAAUUCCUCACUGCUUUGCUUAUGGAAGAGGACAGAGAGAAAACCUGGAGCUGAAGCCAUGAGAGAGCAGGUGGCAGAAGCUCUGCAAGACCUUCCUUGCAUUCAUGAAGUGAGGGUGGGUGGAUAGAUCUCAGAGUAGAGUAACACCAUCAGCCUGCAACCCCCACACUGUGUGGAUAAGAAAUCUGGUCAGAUUCUUAGGUGGUGUAAAUUGGUGUAACACAAUUGAAGCCAGUGGAAUAAUACAGAUUUAUCCUCAGCACACUCCAAAGCAGCAGUAAGUGCCAGACGUGUUGUCCUACCAGCUAAAAAGAAAUCAGAAGCCC